UGGGGAAUAUUGGACAAUGGGCGCAAGCCUGAUCCAGCCAUGCCGCGUGAGUGACGAAGGCCUUAGGGUUGUAAAGCUCUUUUGGCGGGGAAGAUAAUGACGGUACCCGCAGAAUAAGCUCCGGCUAACUUCGUGCCAGCAGCCGCGGUAAUACGAAGGGAGCUAGCGUUGUUCGGAAUCACUGGGCGUAAAGCGCACGUAGGUGGGCAGUUAAGUCAGGGGUGAAAGCCCGAGGCUCAACCUCGGAAUUGCCUCUGAUACUGGCUGUCUAGAGUUCGAGAGAGGUGAGUGGAAUUCCUAGUGUAGAGGUGAAAUUCGUAGAUAUUAGGAAGAACACCGGUGGCGAAGGCGGCCCACUGGCUCGAUACUGACACUGAGGUGCGAAAGCGUGGGGAGCAAACAGGAUUAGAUACCCACGUAGUCCCUGAGCGGGCUGGCAAGGCGCAU
rnacentral:rRNA from 1 species